rnacentral:misc_RNA from 1 species
GAUGAAGAACGGCAGCGAAAUGCGAUAACUAAUGUGAAUUGCAGAAUUCAGUGAAUCAUCGAGUCUUUGAACGCACAUUGCGCCCCCUGGUAUUCCGGGGGGCAUGCCUGUCCGAGCGUCAUUGCUGCCCUCAAGCACGGCUUGUGUGUUGGGCUCCGUCCCCCCGGGGACGGGCCCGAAAGGCAGCGGCGGCACCGAGUCCGGUCCUCGAGCGUAUGGGGCUUUGUCACCCGCUCUGUAGGCCCGGCCGGCGCCAGCCGACAACCCAUCAUCCUUUUCAGGUUGACCUCGGAUCAGGUAGGGAUACCCGCUGAACUUAAGCAUAUCAAUAAGCGGAGGA